rnacentral:rRNA from 1 species
AACGAACGCUGGCGGCAUGCCUAACACAUGCAAGUCGAACGAGACCUUCGGGUCUAUUGGCGCACGGGUGCGUAACGCGUGGGAACCUGCCCUUAGGUUCGGAAUAACUCCCCGAAAGGGGUGCUAAUACCGCAUAAUGUCUUCGGACCAAAGAUUUAUCGCCUUUGGAUGGGCCCGUGUUGGAUUAGAUAGUUGGUAGGGUAAAAGCCUACCAAGGCGACGAUCCAUAGCUGGUCUGAGAGGAUGCUAAGCCACACUGGGACUAAGACACGGCCCAGACCCCUACGGGAGGCAGCAGUGGGGAAUAUUGGACACUGGGCGAAAGCCUGAUCCAGCAAUGCCGGGUGAGAGAUGAAGGCCUUAGGGUUGUACAGCUCUUUUACCCGGGAUGAUAAUGACAGUACCGGGUGAAUAAGCUCCGGCUAACUACGUG